GUAGGGAAUAUUGGGCAAUGGGGGCAACCCUGACCCAGCCAUGCCGCGUGCAGGAUGAAGGCGCUCAGCGUCGUAAACUGCUUUUACUCAUGAAGAACGGCAGGGAUGCGUCCUUGCGUGACGGUAGUGAGGGAAUAAGCACCGGCUAACUCCGUGCCAGCAGCCGCGGUAAUACGGAGGGUGCAAGCGUUGUCCGGAUUUAUUGGGUUUAAAGGGUGCGUAGGUGGGUAACUAAGUCUGGUUUGAAAGCAGGCGGCUCAACCGUGUGAUGUGGCUGGAAACUGGUUAUCUUGAAUGGGUUGGCGGUAGCCGGAACGGGUCAUGUAGCGGUGAAAUGCAUAGAUAUGACCCUGAACACCGAUUGCGAAGGCAGGCUACUACGACCUGAUUGACACUGAGGCACGAGAGCAUGGGUAGCGAACAGGAUUAGACACCCUGGUAGUCCAUGCCGUAAACGAUGAUUACUGGCUGUGUGCAUAACAAUGUGCGUGGCUGAGCGAAAGCGUUAAGUAAUCCACCUGGGGAGUACGCUGGCAACAG
rnacentral:rRNA from 1 species